rnacentral:rRNA from 1 species
GAACGGUAGCACAGAGAGCUUGCUCUUGGGUGACGAGUGGCGGACGGGUGAGUAAUGUCUGGGAAACUGCCCGAUGGAGGGGGAUAACUACUGGAAACGGUAGCUAAUACCGCAUAACGUCUUCGGACCAAAGUGGGGGACCUUCGGGCCUCACACCAUCGGAUGUGCCCAGAUGGGAUUAGCUAGUAGGUGGGGUAACGGCUCACCUAGGCGACGAUCCCUAGCUGGUCUGAGAGGAUGACCAGCCACACUGGAACUGAGACACGGUCCAGACUCCUACGGGAGGCAGCAGUGGGGAAUAUUGCGCAAUGGGCGCAAGCCUGAUGCAGCCAUGCCGCGUGUAUGAAGAAGGCCUUCGGGUUGUAAAGUACUUUCAGUGGGGAGGAAGGCGAUGGAGUUAAUAGCUUCGUCGAUUGACGUUACCCGCAGAAGAAGCACCGGCUAACUCCGUG